UACAUGGGGUGCAACCGUUGCUCGGAAUCAUUGGGCGUAAAGCGCGCGUAGGCGGUUACUUAAGUCGAAUGUGAAAGCCCUCGGCUUAACUGAGGAAGUGCAUCCGAAACUGAGUAGCUAGAGUACGAAAGAGGGUCGCGGAAUUCCCGGUGUAGAGGUGAAAUUCGUAGAUAUCGGGAGGAACACCGGUGGCGAAGGCGGCGACCUGGGUAGAUACUGACGCUGAGGUGCGAAAGCGUGGGGAGCAAACAGG
rnacentral:rRNA from 1 species